rnacentral:lncRNA from 1 species
CCUCAUUGUAUUCUGGGGGUCAGGCUUAGCCUCCCUUCUUUUGUUGUACAAUUUUUAUUUAUAUUAACAAAUUGGUAGGGGUUCAUGCUAAAUCCUCCACCAUUACAAGAUGAUUUUUAUUUUUACAAAAAAAUUUAAUAUCUCCUAUUUUUUUAAUUUAUCCCCCAACUUGUUUUAUUUUAUAAAAUUAUUUUUGAAAAUAAAAACUUUAAAAAUGGGCCGUGCCAAGGUCCAUAUGGACCGUAACUUGACAUAGCCCAUAUAGGC